CAGUAGUGAUGAAAUUCCACUCCAUUGGUCCGUGUUUCUGAACCGCAUGAUUUUUUUGGAUAUUCUGACGCU
ensembl:snoRNA SNORD18 Small nucleolar RNA SNORD18